UUGGGGUGAAUUUGUUCGGACAAAUAAUUGUAAACCAUCAUAAUUCAUGAUUGUGUGGCUUCAUAACCAUGGAGACCCACAACCAUGGGUCUUCUAAAUGGGUCGUGGAGCCGUGGAGGAUGGAAAGCCGCCCAUGGAGACGGGCGACCAUGUCUCUCCAUUGUCGUGGCCGGGUCACGGUGGAGAGAGAAGACAGAGCUGUCAGCCAUGGACGAGAGAAGCGGGGGAUAUGCAAAGGAAAAGAUGUGAAUUUUCUUUUUAUUUCCUCGGAUUGUGACGUGGCAUAAUCUUGGCCGUUGAUUUAUAACAGUCUAAGAAUUGCAGGUAUUGCAGCUGAGAGUUUAAGAGACGAGGAGGUCCUUGACUUGACGUCUAUUCUUUAUCUCCCCUAAAUGAUAAGAGAAGCCAUUGGUUCACUGUUGCACCGCUGCUCAAAAAACAAGGCGUUCCUACACGGUCUUUCCCUCCAUGCUGCCGCCCUGAAAACAGGCUUGCAAUCAGAUAUAAUCAUCGCCAAUCACACCCUCAAUAUGUAUGCCAAGUGUGGCAGCAUUACUUCUGCCCGCCGCGUGUUUGAUGAAAUGUCUGAAAGAAACCUUGUGUCCUGGUCAGCUAUGAUUUCCGGCUGUGACCAGGUCGGACAGCAUACAAUGGCACUUGACCUGUUUUCUGAAAUGCGGCUUGUGCCCAACGAAUACAUUUUCGCCAGUGUUAUCAGUGCGUGUGCCAGCCUCGUGGCACUGUUAGACGGGCAGCAAAUUCAUGCUCAAUCACUGAAAUCUGGCUAUGCAUAUGUCUCAUAUGUUUCUAACUCCCUUAUCUCAAUGUAUAUGAAAUGUGGUCGAUGUAGUGAUGCAUUGUCAGUCUACACUAGUACAUCAGAACCAAAUUCUGUCUCAUAUAAUGCUCUCAUUGCUGGGUUUGUAGAAAAUCAACUACUUGAAAAAGGGUUUGAAGUGUUCAAACUUAUGCACCAACAGGGUUUUGUGCCAGAUCGUUUUUCUUUCGUGGGAGCCUUGGAGAUUUGUACUUAUUCGGAUGAUCUGCUAACAGGGACAGUAUUGCAUGCACAAACAAUCAAGCUUGAACUUGACUAUAUGCCUUUUAUUGGAAAUGUAAUAAUAUCGAUGUACUCGAGAUUCAAUUUGAUAAACGAAGCGGAGAAGGUCUUCAGAUUAAUUAAAGAGAAAGAUGUCAUUUCAUGGAACACCUUUAUAGCUGCCUGUUCUCAUUGUGUUGAUCACGAAAAAGGGUUAGGUGUUUUCAAAGAAAUGGCAAAUGGUUAUGGUGUAAGGCCUGAUGACUUCACUUUUGCCAGUGUACUUGCUGCCUGUGCUGGUCUUGCUUCAAUUCGUCAUGGCAAGCAGAUUCAUGCUAAUCUAACGAGAUCAAUGCUAUAUCAAGAUGUGGGAGUUGAUAAUGCACUUGUGAACAUGUAUGCGAAAUGUGGUUCGGUUGAAUAUGCAUAUAAUGUAUUUAACAAAAUGCUCUGUCACAAUACUUUUUCAUGGAACACAAUGAUUACUGGAUUUGCGAAUCAUGGGCUUGGAGGACGAGCCAUAGACCUUUUUGAGGAGAUGAAGGCAAUGGGGUUAAAGCCAGAUUCUGUGACAUUCGUUGGACUUUUAAUGGCUUGCAAUCAUGCAGGCCUUGUGGACAAGGGAAAAGUUCUUUUUAAUUUAAUGGAAGAAACUUAUGGUAUUUCUCCUAAUAUACAACAUUUCUCAUGUCUUAUUGAUAUGUUAGGACGGGCUGGGAGAUUAACUGAGGCAGAAGAGUACAUCAAAAAAUUUCCUUUUGGGCAUGAUCCAGUUGUUUUAGGGAGUUUGCUUUCAGCAUGUCGCCUGCAUGGGGAUGUUGUAAUUGGGGAGCGGUUGGCUCGACAGCUUCUAAAGAUUCAGCCCAUGACUAGUUCACCAUAUGUUCUACUGGCAAACUUGUAUGCAUCGGAUGAGAUGUGGGGUGAUGUUGCAGAGGCAAGGUAUAUGUUGAAGGGUAGUCAGUUGAGGAAGGCACCUGGCCAUAGUCUGAUUGAAGUGAAUGGAAAUUUUGAAAAAUUUACGAUAGGCGAUUUUUCUCAUUCAAGGAUUGAUGGGAUAAAAGACAUUUUGAGAACUUUAAAUUGGGCAGUGCGUGAAGUUUCUUUGGUCAUUUAACGUACUCCUUUUUCAAAGAGUUAGGGGCCUUUGUCUGCUGCAAUGAUGGAGUCCUGAAGUGCCAAGCAAAGUGCAUGGAUUUCAUUCUUGAGAGCGAUCACUUCAUGCUUAAAUACUGAAGGUUACACCCAUGCCCAAGUCAUCCCUCCCGGGACACGACUUAGGUCAUAUGAAAAGCUGAGCUUCAGAUACUGUUUGCUAUAUUUCCAUGGACCUGCAAUUGCUUGUGAGCAAAAUGUUUGAGAUUGAUAUAUUCAACUUGUGAAGGCUGAAUUGAAUGGACGUGAGGAAGAUCUAAAUGCUUUCAUUUGAAUGCAUUGACAUAAUGACCUGGGAAGACUGAAAUGCUUUUUAUUUGGAAAAUAAAUCCUUUGGAACAUGAAGAGUUAUGCGUGGAUUGUCCGGCUUCCCUUUUUCGCUGCAUCUUGGAUUUCCUCUCAUUAUGACAUGGAAACGUGGGACAGGUAAACGGAUUGUCAAGCUUCCCUUUUCCACUGCAUGACGGAUUUUCCUUCUGUUAUUACAUGGAAACCUAGACAUGUUUGCAGCGCGGGUGACUGUUGUGGGACUACGAGUGUGUUUGGCGGUGCGAUUUUAAACCAAAUCGUAUAAAAUGUAUUGUUUAA